UACUGUCAUUCCAUGGAUAUUUGUCACAGGGAUCGGAAACUGGAAAAGACGCUCUUUGGACGGAAGUGCAACACCACGUCUUAAAAUUUGUGACUUUGGAGACUCCAAGAUUUAUGAUUUUCUUGUUGAAAUAAGACAUUUUUUUGGUUGAUAUGCAAAUCAAUUCCUAACUAAUGUAAGGGUGCAUGUAGAGAUCUGAAAUUCUAAAUGUACUAAAGCGCCUGCACUGUUCAUUCUUCUGUUCAUGUGAGGUGAAAGGACGGUUGUGGCCUCGAGUGGUUUUGUAGAUAUAAAAACAGCCCGAGGUGUGUUCGGGAGACUGUAGCUAUCCAGCUCUGAGAUGCAGGCGUGGCCAUCAAGCUGUCCGAUAGAAGCGUAGCAUCAGAUGCGAGUAUCGACCACAUCAAUCAGGUUUUCUAUGCUUAUUUCCCAGAUUAGAGAUUUUCAAUUUUUGAUUUGAUUUGGUGUCAUGACAUCGUAGGUUUCAAGAUUGUGGUGGACUUGGGGGAGGGUUUGGGUUUGUUUCCGGAGAGGUGGUUUUUCAAUUUCUGCAUUGAGUAUAGAGUAUAAACUGUGCAUCGAGUUAGAAUUGCGCUGGGAGAAAUAGAGGCGCCUCUUCUUAAUAUCCAGACUUACUGGAAGGAUAUGCACUGAGCAUCAAGGGAAGAGCAUUAGAAAGGGGUAGGGUUGAAGGAGCUUUUGGUCUCUUCUGCAUCUGCAGAGACUGUGUGCAUAUUAUCAAAAUAAACUUAGCUCAUCAAAACGCAGUUUUCAAAAGGCUUCCUAAAACUGAUCCAUCUACCUUUUGAAGGGAGCUCCAAGGGGAAGGAGACUACAAUCAGAGACCAGGUUUCAGUGCUAUGAACUUGCAACCAUGAAAUACUUUGGAUAUUACCCUGCAUUGACACCUGACGAGGUCAAGGAACGGGUAGCACUAGCAAGGAAGGCACAAAAAACAUCGGCAAAGAUCAAGCAAAGAUGCAUAUGUUUCUUUGGAUUACUCUCAAGUCUCAAGUAUAUAAUAGAACACUCAUACCUUAUAUGUGAGUUCAGUCAGAAAGAAAACAAUUGAUACAUUUAUACUAUCUGCUGCGAAGCGCGGGCUCUGUAACUAGUAUAUACUAAACAGAUUAUCUCACAAUUCGAUGAACAAAUCAAAUAUAUAUGGUGUUAGUGCUCCACACUUGCAACA